UUUUCACAUGUGUUUCGCUUGUUAUUGGUCGUCUUGUGAUAUUUUUAUCGAGCCUUGUGACAAUCAUGAAAACACAGGGGCUGCCUCUGGUUGGGUCGAAACAAGUAAAAUCAAUUUGACGGUCAAAUCAUGGAUAAUAUUAUUUAAAAACAGAGUAGUGAACAGCAAUUGGGUGGUGUACAAUAAUUGGCAAACUACCCAUAAAUUCAGUUCAAUUCAAUGGUCAUCCACUGUUGGUUCAAGUGUUAUGCGCUGCUUGUACCUAGUAAACGAGCGAAGUAAAAUAUUGUCAUUCUCAGAGCAAAAUAGCGCUAUAUCGUGAAUUAUUCAUCAAAUUAUAAUAUAUGCUAGGUCAACUUUCACGUCAUAUGAUGAGUAUAAAAGCAUCGAUCAAACUGCAAAACCUAUCAAAACAGCAUUUUCGCUAGAAAAGAAACCAAACCAAUCAAUAUGAAACUUUUCAUCAUCUUGUCAGCUUUCAUAGUUGCAGUGGCCAGCGCAGUACCGUUCAACUCGUUUGAUCCAUCCUCUUGGAACCCAUUUCGGCGAAAUGACUCCACCGGCGAUGGCUGGAGGUUCCGUCCAAUCUUUGAUCCAGUCCCUCCAUCUAUACCCUGGAAUCCAAUCGCACCACAGUCUGUAGCGCAAUCCAUCCAGGCUGGAUUGAAUGGUGCCAGCUCUUCCGGUGAUUCUGCAUCACCAGCGACGACUAAUGCUACAAGCGGUAACUAGAAUUUACCUAGUUUAUCCCACCAGGGCACCUUGGAGGAUUAAAAUGAAAUAAAACGCAUCCAAUCUUUGCUUGAA